GUCUAUGGCCAAGCUACCCUGAACGCGCCUGAUCUCGUCUGAUCUCAGAAGCUAAGCAGGGCCGGGCCUGGUUAGUACUUGGAUGGGAGUCUUCCUAGUGUAAGAAAUGGUAAGUGUACAUA
rnacentral:rRNA from 1 species